rnacentral:lncRNA from 13 species
AUGGACGCACAUGUUACAUGCGGCGCGCGCGCACACACACACACUGUCUCACAUAUUUCCUUUCUGAUAGUGUUUGUCUUUCUCUUAACCUUUUCUUCUCAUCCAUUGGCUCUCUCCCUGGAGCGCUGGUCUCCUCUGUCACUCUAUCUUUUUCCAUCACAUUUCAGGCUGGCUGAUCAGAUCAGACACUUGGAGAAGACCACAAUUCUCCAAUCCCUCCUGCAGGACUUUGUAUCUCUAUCCUGCUUCAACGUGCCGAGUGUGCAAGACUGUCAUGGAGGGAAAAGUUGUACUGCUGGAUUUUCCCAAGCCACUGACCUAAUUCAAGUCCUUAAAAGCAUGGAGGAAAGAGGAAGACUUAAUGCUCAGAGCACAAGUAAAGACUCAAAAAGAGGGACUCCUAUUCGCCUCUACAAGCGAUGUCUGAGGAUCAUUGAGUCCAAGAAGCCUUGACUGAUUAUUCCCAAACAUCAGCACCCUUAAGUACCAGUUACUAGAAUGGGAAUGCAAUGCAUCUGUCCAACAUCACCCUCUGUUGUGUUUUUUAAAGAUUUUUAAGCCUUAAGAUGAUAAAUGUGGCAGAAGGACUUGAUUUGCUGCUGUUCGGUAUAGGAGGGAGUUCCUUAUACCUUCCAACUUUUCCCCAAAUCUUUGACCUCAACUGUAAAUAGUGAUCCACAACUAGAGUUGUACAUAAUUCUCCUGCUGAGGGUACUAUGAUCUCUGACAACAAUUUAAUAUAUUUAUAUUGAGUCUUUUUACUUCUAGAUUAAAACCCUUGAAUAUUACCAGUCUCUGUUACUUCAUUGUCUCACAUUACAAGAUUCCCUUAAGGUGCAGUAUUUUUUAGCCAAUAGCAUUUCUAAAAUUGCUCAAGAGGUGGCACCCUUCUACCUCUAACAGUAAGGUAAUUGACAUUCACACACUCAUUUGUUAUUUUUCUUAGUUUAGUAUGUCAUGAAUUGAUCAUGUUGAAGGUAACAGUGUGGGAUUUUCACUUCUUACCCAAAGGCUUGAAAUUGUAAUAUUGUGUCAUGAUGAUCAUCAUUUACCUACCUUGUCACUACAAUCAGAAAAAGUACAGUAAUACUUAAGAAAACAAAUUAAACCAUGAGUAUUAAAUACAUUUUAAAGAAUGAUAAUAUCAAAAAUAAAAUAAAUGUUUAGGUGGUUUGACACUUUAUUUAGACAAAAAUUAAAUGUGGGGAGACAGGCAAAUGCUAGAAACAGUGGGAAGGUUGAAAGCAGGAAUUGUUCCCUGUUCUCAGGUGGGAAGUUGCAUGCGACAUGUUACCACUACGCCAAGUCUCUGCACAGGAGAUAAUAAUAAUGGUUAUUGGCAUUGGGUAACCAAAUAAUAGAUUGCAGUCUACUUGUCUAUAGACUGCUUUCAAUUUAAGGACACAAAGUGGAAUAACCGUAGUGUUCUUGCUGACAAGAACAGUAAUUACCCUAUAUUUUAGCCCAUUGUUAAGAAUGAUAAUUGUUCCACUGAUCAGAAUAAAUAAAGUAAAUAGUUAAUGAAAUUGAAGAAUUAAUUAUAUAAAUCUGCCCCUACACACUAACCAAAUCAUUGUUAUAUUAAUUGUCCUUUUAGAAUCAAACGUACACUUUUCGGUUCACUAUCUGUUUGACAUAUUGAUUUCAUAGUUACAAAUCAGGCCACUGUACCAAACGUCUAUCUGCUGCCUUGUUGUCA